rnacentral:lncRNA from 1 species
CACAAAUUGUGAAAACUAUGGGGUUAGGCCAUGAACCACAGCUUGUAAAUACAAAAUCUAUUCAGUGAAUACCAGGACCUGAGUUCCAAGGUAUGAAGUUUUUAGGAUUAAAUGUUGAGUCAAAAUCUCAAAAGGUCAAACCUAAAGAAUUAAUGCCAUCCCUACAUUUGGGAGGUGUAAAGCCAUCUGAAACGGCUCUUGGGCCAAAACCUCAAGGUGAAAAAUCAAUGGAACUUAAUCUUGGGCCACAAGUACAGAGUGUGGAAAUCCCUACAUGGUUCCCAGGACCAGAUCCACAAAAAGGGGAAAAAUUUUCAUGAACCUCAGAGCCACAGCCUCAACAUGUGAAAACUGUGGUGUUAAACUAUGGAUCACAGCUUACAAACACAAAAUCUACUGAGUGGAUAUCAGUGCCUGAGUUCAAAGUUAAGAAGCCUAUGUUGAAUCCUGGGUUACAAUCUCAAGAUGUCACAACUAUAGAGUUGGAGCCUUCAGUACAAUUAAGAGAUGUGAAGACAUCCAUGUUGACUACAAGGCCAAAACUACAAGGUAGACAACCUUUAGUGUCAGACCAGGAACAUCAGCUUCACAGGUUCAAGCCAGGUAUUAACACCAGAGUCAACCAGGAAGUUCUUAAAAGAACCAGCACUAGCUAAUGUCAAAUUUUCAAGUUUGGUUCCAGAACCACAGCAACAAUCUUCAGCAUUUACUUCAGAGCCAAAGUGGCAAAGUGUAAAACAUGUGAAAUUGUCCUCAGUGUCUCUGCCGCAAACUGUAAAAUCUGUGGAUUUACCACCAAGGUCCUUGCUUCGAAGUGUGAAAUCUGGGAAUGUGAAAUCUGGGAAGCAACCCCUGCAAACAAAUGAUCAAAUCACAGAAUCCUCUAAAAUAAUACAUAGACCAGGGCAUCAGUCUGAAGAAUGUGCAGCGAUAAUCUCAAAGGCAUGGCAUCAGAUCCCUAAAUUGGUAAAUUUGAGUUCAGUACCAAUUUCAGGAUCUUCAGAAAUGACAAAAAGAUUGGUACAUAAAAGCACAGAAACUGCAGAGAAAUCUGGGAGGUUAACCCCAAAGCCAGCAGAUAUAUCCAAGGAAGGAACCAAGAGGAAACACAUGGCGGAAUUAGAGGAUUCACUCCACACCUAUUCUCCAUCUCCACUGAAAUUACCACCUGACAGUUUUCAGGCAGGAUCAGGGGUUCAAAGAGGUCCUACUCAUUCUUUCCUGGGCAGACAACGGAAUGUCUGGGAAAAUCAUACCUGUAAG